rnacentral:tRNA from 1 species
CUAAACCGUUGCUCGAGGGUGGAGCGCCCGAUCUUUAGUCGGGCAUGCCCUUUGUUUUAUUGUUCCUUUUCGUUUGGUUUGGA